rnacentral:tRNA from 1 species
GGGCUCGUAGAUCAGUUGGAAGGGAAUCACUUAGAAAGUCCCCGAUACAGAUCGCUUGAUUCGCAUUGGCGGUUAUGGUCUGUAUUUCAUCCCAUAACUCCGCGGAGUCAAGAGGUCGCGGGUUCGAAUCCCGCCGAGUCCA